UUCCUUACCUCAUUUCUUCAUUCAAAAAAAGUAAUGAUAAUGUUAUUUUAAGUUGUAAAGAUAAGCUAAGUCAUAACCAAUACUUUUUAAUACUUAAAUUAUUAAAUAUAUAAAAUUUACUCACUCAUAAAUGAAUAGUGUGGUUGAAGAUGGUGUAUAGAUAUUAUAAAACCAAAUAUUUUGUUUUCAAAAUUAAACUUUAAUAGAAUCGUAAGAUUUUCUACCACAAUUUUUGCCAUUCUUUUGUCUUACUUUUCAUAUUUAAACAUGAUAUUCACCUCCAAAUGUGCAAGACUAGGAGAACCUUAUGAUUAGUAUUAUAUUUUUUUAUCCUAGUUUCAAAGAUAAUAAUAGAAAGAUUACUCAGAAAGAUAAGACCUAAAAAGACCUAUUAUUUUAGAUUAGAUUAAUUAUAUUAAAUAUACUAGUGACAACAAAAUGUUAAACAUAUGGAAAAGAAAUUUUAUAUCAUGGGAACAUCUUCAAAGGAGUAUAUAAUAUGCAUAAAAAUAUGAAAUAGUUAUAACCUCUUCAGUGUCCCCUUGGUAAGAGAGUGCCAUGUAUUUAGGAAAGUUACCUCCUUUAUUUGAAAGAAAUCCAAUAAAAUUCUUUGGUUCUAAUAGAUAUAUUCUUAUAAUAAAUGAGUAUUUCUAUUAAGGUAUACUAAUACAUAUUUCUUUGUAAUAAGUGAGUAUUUCUAUGUAUUAAGUCGGUUCAUUACUUCAGUGCAUUAAAUGCAAGAGAGUUUAGGUGUUUAAGGGAAACACACAAAUACAUUUUAAAUAUAUACACUUCGGGAAAGGGUUGAUAACAAGUAAUAGCAGAAAGUAGUUUGGGAAUAAACAUGGUACUCAAUCAUGCAUAAUAUCGUGUACAGUUAUGCUAUGCUCAUUCUACUUUCUGAUUACCAUUCUGAUUAACACUUUCCGUAACUACUUUCUGUAUAUAAGACCACGCUGGGACUAAUGCUGGAAUCCAUGAAGACAGCCUAAAAAAAAAAGCAAUGGAGGAGAAAAGAAGAAAAACAAAGAGGGAAAGAAAGAGAGAGAAAGAAAGAGAAAGAAAGAGGGAAAGAGAUAAAGAAAAAGGAAGGAAGGGAGGAAGGAAGAAAGGAAGAAAGAAAGGAAGAAAGGAAGGAAGAAAGAAAGAGAAAGAAAAGAAAGGAAGAAAGGAAGGAAGGAAGGAAGAAAUGCUCGUGUAUUAUUUUUUACAUUAAUAAAUGUAGGUUGGUGACUACUUUAUUUAAUUUUUUUCAAUAAUUUUAAUUUAAAAUAUAAAAUUUUAUUCAUUUUCACAAGCAAUUAAAGGAGCAUCAUUUUACUCUUUACUGUUAUAAAAAUCAUAAGAGAAGAUUAUUUUCACAGAGUAUCUGAACAUUAUUAUUUCUUGUUUGAUGAAAGAUAAUACAUUAACUGAUAAAUCAGGAAGUGUCUUAUAUAAAUAUAACCCAGUUUAAGCACAGAAUUCUUAGCCAUUUUGAUUUGAUAUAAUAGGUACAAAUAAUUUAAAUAGAAAAGAUAUCAAUAGUUUAGUGUAAUUAAUAGAAAUCAUCUUUGAAAAAAAUUUGAAGGGCUAUUGUCAUUUGCAAAACUAUGAGAGAUGGAGUGCCAAGGAAAAUAAGCAACGGUAUUCAGGUUAUGAUAUUACAAAUACGAAUUUUCAAGAAGAUAUUAGAUUUGAAACCAAACGUGCCUGAGGAAGAAAUUAGUUUUUAAAUAAUUUUACCUUCCAUUUUAACCAUCAAAGACUUAAACUCUAAACUAGAUAGUGGUAGGAAGCCCUGGGCUGAUAGGAGGAAAUAAACAGACACUCAGAAUCCUGGGCACUAUAGAACAAAUAUCAGGAAAGGAAUCUGGCAUAUAUAUGUCCUGAUUCCUUCUCUCUGGAUUUGGCCUUCAGUAGUGGAUGUGGUCAGUUUAUUGGUAAGGAAGCUGAGGAUGAGGAGCUCCUGUCCACUUCUCCAUUUGGGACACUUGGAAAAGUCCACUGUACAAAGAAGCCUAUGCCUCCAUGAGGUGGAGGGUUAUGGUUGUGGUUAUGGUUAAGGGGCCAUAAGUAAAUAGAGUCUGGAAUGAUCUCCCAAGGUUUUCGCUUCCUAAGUGGCAAGAGCCUGCUAUGAUAGAGUGGAGUGACUCGACCAAGGAUCCAAUCAGAAGAGUGGCAAAGAGUCUGCAAAGCAGCAAGGGCUGAGUAAGCAGGGAGCUGUUGAUUCAGUAAGGAAAAAUUGCAUUUUGUGUUCAUCAGCCCCAGAUGUCCGCAGCAAAUGCCAGCAGAAAAUCCUGAGAAAGGACCAGGCCAACCAAAUACUGCAGCAGACAAGGAACACCCACUCUGCAAUGGUCUGAAAACCGGUAAGCAUCUGAUGGAUCCAAAGACUCUUCCCUUUUCCCUUGUAUGUUCAUAAAAGUCCUCAAUUGGCUCUAUCCCCAAAGUCAGCCUAACACCAUUUUUGUGACUAUCAAGUGCGUGGGAAGAAUGAAAAUAAAAGUCAAACAGUCAUUUUCCAAAGAGUAAGUAUUUUCUUAAAGGACUGUUAAAAUUAUUGGAUUGGGUAGUUUUAAACCAAUUUGGAGUAAAUGUAGCUUUUUAUUUCCACUAAUCAUAAGAGAAGCCAGAACUAUUGUAGACAAAAUAAAACAAAGAAAUUGAUUUUUCUUGUUUCUCUGCUCAUGUGAGCAACAGUGGCAUCUCUGUGACACCAAUACAAGUGAGCAUAACAAGCAUUGAUGUUGCAAAGGUUAAAGAUUUAUGAAUUAGAAAACGGAACUACGAGGUAAUAAUUUUCAAUUUCUUUGCAUUUUACAUACAUAAAUUUUUUUUUAACAACACAGUUAUUAUUUUACAGCUGAGGCUAAUAAAGUUUAAGUGACGUACUUAGUCUUGAGCUUUAAAAUACUAACCUUGGCAUUCUUCGUAUAAAUUCUUCUGCUAGAUUAUGUGGUACCAAUCAAUAACUUCAUUUAUAUUCAUAUUUGAAUUAUAAUAACAUUAUUUAGGUAUGUGUACAUGUAUAAUUUAAGAUACAGGUUUAGUUAUGUUAUAUUUUUCUAUAAUAAAGUUUAUGGUUAAAAUCAAGAAUCUCUGCCUAUUAUUUGGUUCAGAAUAAGUAGUUGAGUACAGACAUGAGAAAUUGAUAUUGUAAUCAUUGGAAAAAGAGGAAUGUAAUUAUUUUAAUUCAAAAGGACUAUAAAGCUAACUUUUAUAAAAUUAUAUAAAAACAAAAAAAUGUACUUAUAUCUUUCCAAAAUUUGGAACAUAAUCAUAUGGGAAGAAGGAUGAACUGAAUUUAUCUGGAAGGUCUUCAAUUCCCUGCAAUAUUAGGAAGAUAACUCAUAAGCACACCAAAACUGUAAUAGUGCAAAUUUAAUACCCAGACUGCGUGGUGAAAAUAAAAACAAUCCCUAUUGAUUUCUUUAAAAUUUUAUUGGAGUAUAGUUUAUUUACAACAUUGUGUUAAUUUCUAGUGUACAGAAAAAUGAUUUAGUUGUACAUAUACAUGUAUCUAUACUUUUUCAAAUACUUUUCCCAUAUAGGUUAUUACAGAAUAUUGAUUAAAGUUCCCUAUGCUCUACAGUAGUUCCUUGUUGAUUAUCUCCUCUCUAUAUAGUAGUGAGUAUAUGUUAAUCUCAAACUCCUAAUAUAUCCCUUCCACCCACAUUCAUGUCCUCUUUUGUAACCAUAAAUUUGUUUUUGAAAUCUGUAAAUCUGUUUUUCUUUUGUAAAUAAGUUUAUUUGUAUCAUUUGAAAAUUAGAUUUCACAUGUAAGUGAUAUCACAUGAUAUUUCCCUUUGUCUAACUUACUUCACUUAGUUUGAUAAUCUCUAGGUCCACCCAUGUUGCUGAAAACGGUAUUUUUUGUUCUUUAUUAUGGCUGAGUAACAUUCCAUUGUACCACAUGUACCACUUCUUCUUUAUCCAUUUUCCUGUCAAUUGCCAUUGAGGUUGCUUCCAUGUCUUGGCUAUUGUAACUCAUAAAAUGACUCUUGAAAUAUUAUUCAUUCAUUUAAUCCUAUCUUACCACUAAAAGACUUCCUAAGUGGACAUGACAGCACAUCCCAAAGUUUCUACUAUUGUGAGGGAGCUCCUAUUUUGUAGUAUAAUUACUUUGCUAUAUUAUUGAUUAUCUCACAACUUAACACAUGUCUGUGAUAAAUAUGCCUUUAAGAUAGUAGGCAUUCAAUAAAAGUAUUUUAUAACAAUAAUGGUAACAAGUAUAACUGGCAUACAUAGGUUUAGAGCAAGUACUAAUUAUUCUUAAGUAUUUAAAUUCAUGGAAGUAGAAUAUCUAGGCAGAUUUUAAACUGGCCACAGCAUUCAAAGUGAUCUGGGUGUUUGUCAGUGCGUCUCUGAAAAAAGUGAAUAAUAUCUGUUAAAAGAGUGUAGAUUUUAUAUUUCACCUGUAUAUUUUAUACUAGUUUUAAUUGAAUUCAGUGUUUAAUAUAAUUAAGUCCCAUUUGUUUAUUUUUGGUUUUUAUUAUCUUCAUUACUCAAGAAAGAUUUUUUCAGAGUUCCCAUUGUGGCUCAGUGGGUUAAGAACCAACUAGUAUCCAUGAGGAUGCAGAUUCAAUCCCUCGCCUCACCUCCUGGGUGAAGGAUCCAGUGUUGCUGAAAGCUGUGUCAUGGGUCACAGAUGAGGCUCAGGUCUGGGUUGCUGUGGCUGUGGUAUAGGCUGGCAGCAGCUCCAUUUCAACCCCUAGCCUGGGAACUUCCAUAUGCCAUGG
rnacentral:lncRNA from 1 species